rnacentral:rRNA from 1 species
AACGAACGCUGGCGGCAUGCCUAACACAUGCAAGUCGAACGAGAUCUUCGGGUCUAGUGGCGCACGGGUGCGUAACGCGUGGGAAUCUGCCCUUUGGUUCGGAAUAACAGUUGGAAACGACUGCUAAUACCGGAUGAUGACGAAAGUCCAAAGAUUUAUCGCCAGAGGAUGAGCCCGCGUAGGGUUAGCUAGUUGGUGUGGUAAAGGCGCACCAAGGCGACGAUCCUUAGCUGGUCUGAGAGGAUGAUCAGCCUCACUGGGACUGAGACACGGCCCAGACUCCUACGGGAGGCAGCAGUGGGGAAUAUUGGACAAUGGGCGAAAGCCUGAUCCAGCAAUGCCGCGUGAGUGAUGAAGGCCUUAGGGUUGUAAAGCUCUUUUACCCGGGGUGAUAAUGACAGUACCGGGAGAAUAAGCUCCGGCUAACUCCGUGCCAGCCGCCGCAGUAA